rnacentral:lncRNA from 1 species
UCGACUCUUCGAACAUUUUGGAUCAGCAGCAGAUAUACUUGAGAGGUUAAUGAAGCUCUCCCUGAAGUUUGGUGGGCUCACGACAGUCGUAGCUCACCUUCUCACUUUUCAAACCCUAGGCAGAAACCCUAGGGUACUCAUAGAAAACCCUGCGCCCACUUUGUUUCUUUUCUUUUCUCUCAAAAGUUUUUUGAACUUUGAUCUCACGCACAAGGCCUUCUCACACCACCCUUUUUCUCUCAGAUGUAAUCUACGCACGCCCCACCUUCUCAUCCCUUUUAAAAAAAGUGCAAGAUGCGUCUUUACAGCAUUUUCACCGCGUGAGAGGAUAAAGCUAGAUGGUUGCUCACUUGA